rnacentral:rRNA from 1 species
AAUGGGUCAGCGACUUAUAUUCUGUAGCAAGGUUAACCGAAUAGGGGAGCCGAAGGGAAACCGAGUCUUAACUGGGCGUUAAGUUGCAGGGUAUAGACCCGAAACCCGGUGAUCUAGCCAUGGGCAGGUUGAAGGUUGGGUAACACUAACUGGAGGACCGAACCGACUAAUGUUGAAAAAUUAGCGGAUGACUUGUGGCUGGGGGUGAAAGGCCAAUCAAACCGGGAGAUAGCUGGUUCUCCCCGAAAGCUAUUUAGGUAGCGCCUCGUGAAUUCAUCUCCGGGGGUAGAGCACUGUUUCGGCAAGGGGGUCAUCCCGACUUACCAACCCGAUGCAAACUGCGAAUACCGGAGAAUGUUAUCACGGGAGACACACGGCGGGUGCUAACGUCCGUCGUGAAGAGGGAAACAACCCAGACCGCCAGCUAAGGUCCCAAAGUCAUGGUUAAGUGGGAAACGAUGUGGGAAGGCCCAGACAGCCAGGAUGUUGGCUUAGAAGCAGCCAUCAUUUAAAGAAAGCGUAAUAGCUCACUGGUCGAGUCGGCCUGCGCGGAAGAUGUAACGGGGCUAAACCAUGCACCGAAGCUGCGGCAGCGACGCUGAUGCGUUGUUGGGUAGGGGAGCGUUCUGUAAGCCUGUGAAGGUGUGCUGUGAGGCAUGCUGGAGGUAUCAGAAGUGCGAAUGCUGACAUAAGUAACGAUAAAGCGGGUGAAAAGCCCGCUCGCCGGAAGACCAAGGGUUCCUGUCCAACGUUAAUCGGGGCAGGGUGAGUCGACCCCUAAGGCGAGGCCGAAAGGCGUAGUCGAUGGGAAACAGGUUAAUAUUCCUGUACUUGGUGUUACUGCGAAGGGGGGACGGAGAAGGCUAUGUU